rnacentral:rRNA from 1 species
UACGAACCGUGCGAACGUUAUUCGGAAUCACUGGGCUUAAAGCGCGUGUAGGCGGGCCGGCACGUCGGUGGCUGAAAUCCCCCGGCUCAACCGGGGAAGUGGCCUCGAUACGACCGGCCUGGAGGGGGGUAGGGGGCGCCGGAACUUCCGGUGGAGCGGUGAAAUGCGUUGAGAUCGGAAGGAACGCCCGUGGCGAAAGCGGGCGCCUGGACCGCACCUGACGCUGAGACGCGAAAGCCAGGGGAGCGAACGGG